ensembl:lncRNA
GCUCUCCGUCCCCCCCUGCAGGAGGCCGGGGGAACUACAGCCAGACCCCCUGGUGAGGAGGGGGGGGGGGCCGGGGGAACUACAGCCAGACCCCUGGUGAGGAGGGGGGCCGGGGGAACCACAGCCAGUCCCCUUGGAGAGGAGGGGGAGGGGCCCGGUAGGGGGAGGGGCCCGGUAGGGGGGAGGGGCCAGGCUGUGCGGCGUAGAAUGAGGAAGAGGAGGAGGAAGGUUUUCUCCUGCGCUCAGUCUUCCUGUGGCACUUCCUGUGAACCGAGAAGGGGGCGGAGACAAGUGAGUAUUGGAGGGGCAUGUCUUCCCCAGGUGAGUGUUGGAGGGGCGUGUCUUCCCCAGGUGAGUGUGGGAGGGGCAUGUCUUCCCCAGGUGAGUGUUGGAGGGGCGUGUCUUCCCCAGGUGAGUGUAGGAGGGGCGUGUCCUCCCGAGGUGGGUGUUUGAGGGGCGUGUCUUCAGGUGACUGUCUUGUGUCGUGCUCUGUGAUUGGUGAAAAGGACCCAUCAAGCACCGCCUCCCCAAACAGCAGCCUCUCUGAUUGGCUGUGGUGGGCCGCUGGGGGGCCUGAGAGGGGGUCCCGCCUCCCUAGCGACUGGCCGUCGCCGUGGGAGACGCCGGGCCCUGGAAACGGGGGGGUCCGCAUGGGGGG